rnacentral:rRNA from 1 species
CCUACGGGUGGCAGCAGUGAGGAAUAUUGGUCAAUGGCCGGAAGGCUGAACCAGCCAAGUCGCGUGAGGGACGACUGCCCUAUGGGUUGUAAACCUCUUUUAUAAGGGAAGAAUAAAUGCUACGUGUAGCAUGAUGCCUGUACCUUAUGAAUAAGCCUCGGCUAACUACGUGCCCGCAGCCGGGGUAAUACGGAGGAUGCGAGCGUUAUCCGGAUUUAUUGGGUUUAAAGGGUGGGUAGGCGGCGUGUCAAGUCCGCGGUAAAAUGGCGGGGCUCAACCCCGGCCGGCCGUUGAAACUGGCGUGCGUGAGUGGGAGAGGAGUAUGCGGAAUUCGUGGUGUAGCGGUGAAAUGCAUAGAUAUCACGAAGAACCCCGAUGGCGAAGGCAGCAUACCGGCUCCACACUGACGCUGAGGCACGAAAGCGUGGGUAUCGAACAGGAUUAGAUACCCCAGUAGUC